rnacentral:pre_miRNA from 1 species
AAAAAGAUAAACCCUGGGUUUCCGUAUCCAACAUUUGAUCGUUCGUCUUAUUUAAAAAAAUAUGAAAAAAAUUAAAAAGACAAGUCACGUAUAAAGUAUUAAUCAUGUUUUAUCAUCUAACAACAAUGAAAAUACUAAUUAUAAAAAAAUUUCUCAUAAGAUGGACAGUCAAACGUUGGACACUGCAAUCUAGGGUUUGUCUUUUU